GCCGAGGUCGUCUAGUGGUAGGGCGCCAGCCUGGAGAGCUGGUGACUCGAAAGAGUCUCGUGAGUUCGAAUCUCACCCUCGGCG
rnacentral:tRNA from 2 species